AGGGGGACCCUCUCCACACAACUACACGCGGAGCCCUUCUGAGCACUCUUGGAGAAGACUGUAUGUACAAUCAUAAAAGUUUUUUGGAAUUCAAGAAGAAAGUGAGUUACUCAGGGACACCAUUGGAUUCCAGUCUGUGGAAAUGGUACUCCCAGAAGCUUGUUUGUUAAGGGGCAGCUUACAUGUGCAGGCAGAACAUCAGAAUCCCUGGUGCUCCUGGUGAUCUCUCUGUGCUUGAGUUACCAGAGGUGGAAAGAAUUCUCACCUUCUACAAGAUGAGUGUGAGGCCCAGAAAAGUAAGCAGCUAUCACAAAGCCAGACUGCUAGAUGUUGGCAGCAGCAACCUGGAAGUCAGGGCUCCUGUUGCUCUGUUUUGUGCCAUUUGAACUCCAUCAUCUAUCCAUGGGGCUUGGGGAUCCUAAAACACAGCACAUAGGAGCAAUAACAGUAUUCUUAAGAAUACCUCCAGUGAACUACUAAUUUCUCACAUUUUUCAGAUUAAGAAACCAAGAAUCAGAAGCCACAUUUGCAAUUGAGGUACCAGUACGCUGACUUGGCUGGUUGACAGUUGAGUCUUCCAAGGGUACACCCAUUAAUUUUAACAGGAAUGAACAUGAUUAAUUGUUGUCACUCUGGGGAGGGUGCCUCAGCUCCUUGCUCCCAGGCUCAACACCAGCUCAGCAUGAAUAUGUUCUCCACCUACUUGGUGAAAGCAUGAUGCCAGGUUCUGAAAUAAUGAACUUGACCUAAUUCUAUCUCCACCGCAUGACAAGAUGAUCUUAGAGAGGUUUUGUUAGUUUGUUUAAGGGCCUGUUGAUAAAUUAGCAAGUGCAGAUUUACUAAGCCCUAGACAUAUGUCCAAGAACUCAGCCUGUGUUGGAAAAGUCCCCAAACUCAGGGCAGGUAGGAGAGCCUGAUCCAGCAUCUUGGCCCAGCAUCCUGAUGGAGUUACACUGGGAUCAAUGGCAGAGUCUUCUGGUGCCAAGCCUGCCUGAGGCACUCAAAGACAUCUGGUCACUCUUUUGAAAAGGCAGACUCAAAACAACAGGGAAAUUUAUUUCAAGGAGCAGGACGAGCUGCUCCAUGCUGCUGUUGGUUGAUCUCAGCAGAAUAGGUGUGUCAUCAAAGAUAGGCAGAGAACACCAAGAAGCAGACUCAAGCUUCCUGUCAACCACAGCUUUGAAUCUGGAGCAGGUUGAAUAGUAAGCCCUUAGGGUCUGCUAAGAAGUCACCGAAAUGGGAGGAAGCACACAGCAAUGUACCUAAUAGCAAUGAUCCAUCAUGCCAAUAGGAAUCAGAGUGACUUCUGCCACCUGGGAUGCCCCAUGCAAUUUCAUUCCAGAGACUUGCAGAGGAAGACCUCUCCUACAAGGACUUCAUUCAUGGGCAAAGGGGCAGCCUCGGGCUGAGAUUGGCCAUGUGCCAUGUGAGAAUUUGGUUAUAAAAUUGGAGUGAUAGUUGAUCAAAGUACAUUAUGGAUGACUGACAUCACUCACCUAUUCACUUUCCGGGCCAGCUACUGUGCUAAACACUAGAGACCAUAAGAAUAAACAGGGUGUUGGUCCCUACCCCGGACGACUUAAUAAUUGAGUAAAGGGUACAAACAAAA